GUCGGAUUAGCUAGUUGGUGGGGUAAAGGCCUACCAAGGCGACGAUCCGUAGCUGGUCUGAGAGGAUGAUCAGCCACACUGGGACUGAGACACGGCCCAGACUCCUACGGGAGGCAGCAGUGGGGAAUUUUGGACAAUGGGGGCAACCCUGAUCCAGCCAUUCCGCGUGAGUGAAGAAGGCCUUCGGGUUGUAAAGCUCUUUCGGACGGAACGAAACGGUCAGGACCAAUACUUCUGACUAAUGACGGUACCGUAAGAAGAAGCACCGGCUAACUACGUGCCAGCAGCCGCGGUAAUACGUAGGGUGCGAGCGUUAAUCGGAAUUACUGGGCGUAAAGCGUGCGCAGGCGGUUAUUUAAGACAGGUGAGAAAUCCCCGGGCUUAACCUGGGAAUUGCGCUUGUGACUGGAUAGCUAGAGUGCGGCAGAGGGGGGUGGAAUUCCACGUGUAGCAGUGAAAUGCGUAGAGAUGUGGAGGAACACCGAUGGCGAAGGCAGCCCCCUGG
rnacentral:rRNA from 1 species